CACGUGGGUGAUCUGCCCUGCACUUUGGGAUAAGCCUGGGAAACUGGGUCUAAUACCGAAUAUGAUCAUCGGCUUCAUGGUCGGUGGUGGAAAGCUUUUGCGGUGUGGGAUGGGCCCGCGGCCUAUCAGCUUGUUGGUGGGGUAAUGGCCUACCAAGGCGACGACGGGUAGCCGGCCUGAGAGGGUGUCCGGCCACACUGGGACUGAGAUACGGCCCAGACUCCUACGGGAGGCAGCAGUGGGGAAUAUUGCACAAUGGGCGCAAGCCUGAUGCAGCGACGCCGCGUGAGGGAUGACGGCCUUCGGGUUGUAAACCUCUUUCGCCAGGGACGAAGCGCAAGUGACGGUACYUGGAGAAGAAGCACCGGCCAACUACGUGCCAGCAGCCGCGGUAAUACGUAGGGUGCGAGCGUUGUCCGGAAUUACUGGGCGUAAAGAGCUCGUAGGUGGUUUGUCGCGUUGUUCGUGAAAACUCACAGCUUAACUGUGGGCGUGCGGGCGAUACGGGCAGACUGGAGUACUGCAGGGGAGACUGGAAUUCCUGGUGUAGCGGUGGAAUGCGCAGAUAUCAGGAGGAACACCGGUGGCGAAGGCGGGUCUCUGGGCAGUAACUGACGCUGAGGAGCGAAAGCGUGGGGAGCGAACAGGAUUAGAUACCCUGGUAGUCCACGCCGUAAACGGUGGGUACUAGGUGUGGGUUUCCUUCCUUGGGAUCCGUGCCGUAGCUAACGCAUUAAGUACCCCGCCUGGGGAGUACGGCCGCAAGGCUAAAACUCAAAGGAAUUGACGGGGGCCCGCACAAGCGGCGGAGCAUGUGGAUUAAUUCGAUGCAACGCGAAGAACCUUACCUGGGUUUGACAUGCACAGGACGCCGGCAGAGAUGUCGGUUCCCUUGUGGCCUGUGUGCAGGUGGUGCAUGRCUGUCGUCAGCUCGUGUCGUGAGAUGUUGGGUUAAGUCCCGCAACGAGCGCAACCCUUGUCUCAUGUUGCCAGCACGUUAUGGUGGGGACUCGUGAGAGACUGCCGGGGUCAACUCGGAGGAAGGUGGGGAUGACGUCAAGUCAUCAUGCCCCUUAUGUCCAGGGCUUCACACAUGCUACAAUGGCCGGUACAAAGGGCUGCGAUGCCGUGAGGUGGAGCGAAUCCUUUCAAAGCCGGUCUCAGUUCGGAUCGGGGUCUGCAACUCGACCCCGUGAAGUCGGAGUCGCUAGUAAUCGCAGAUCAGCAACGCUGCGGUGAAUACGUUCCCGGGCCUUGUACACACCGCC
rnacentral:rRNA from 1 species